GUUAGGAAUAUUGGACAAUGGGCGCAAGCCUGAUCCAGCCAUGCCGCGUGAGUGAUGAAGGCCUUCGGGUUGUAAAGCUCUUUAGCCGAUGAUUAUAAUGACUGUAGUCGGAAAAUAAGCCCCGGCUAACUUCGUGCCAGCAGCCGCGGUAAUACGAAGGGGGCGAGCGUUAUUCGGAAUCACUGGGCGUAAAGCGUGCGUAGGCGGCUUUGCAAGUUGGGAGUGAAAGCCCAGGGCUCAACCCUGGAAUUGCUCUCAAAACUGCAAGGCUCGAAUUGGGAGAGGAUAGCGGAAUUGUCAGUGUAGCAGUGAAAUGCGUAGAUAUUGACAGGAACACCAGUGGCGUAAGCGGCUAUCCGGACCGAUAUUGACGCUGAGGCACGAAAGCGUGGGGAUCAAACAGGAUUAGAUACCCCUGUAGUCC
rnacentral:rRNA from 1 species